GUGGUGAUACUAGCUGGAAGAAGCUGAGCUAGCUCAUUAGAGCUAACGUGGCUAAACAGUGUGGACCUUAUCAAAGAUAUUUAGAGGAUUACACAGCAGCGAUUCCAAGGACUACCAAGUACAGAUGGAAAGUAAAAGAUAGGGCAGAACUACAGGACAACUCACAAGAUCACAUUAGUCGGCCCACUGCUUCCCAUAGAGAAGUAACAGAUGAUGUCAACAGUGGGAGCUCUUCCACACCUGGGCUUUUGGAUUCUGCCCUUCAACAGAAUAUCAGUCAUGAUGACAUCAACACAGAUGGUCACAUGACUUACACUUCGACCAGUGGAGAGGAAGAACUCAACAAUUCCAGCAGUGAAGAUGAACUUAAUAGUGAGAGCUCUUCCACGGACAGCCUGUUGGAUAUGGACAUUCAAGAGAAUGGUAUUGAAGAUAACCACAUUGACACAGAAGACCACUGGAGUAACACUUCCAGCAGUGAAAAUGAAGAUAAUGAACUCGACACUGAGAAACCAACCACAAGCCAGUUGGAUGUGGACGUCUCAGAGCUCUGCCACAUUCUGAAGAGGACUUGAUUGGUGCUGCCAUUGAUGAAGCUGAAAACCAUGCUGAUGACGAAGACGUGAUGGAGGGGAGUACAAGAGGAAAUGAACCUGAAUUUCCAGUGG